AUGCAGACCCCCGGGGCACUACUCAUUUCUCUAGCUCUGGUUUACUGUGGUACCAGGGGUCUAAUCAGGCCUGUGUCUGCCUCCUUCUUGAAUAGCCCAGAGAAUUCAUCUAAACAGCCUUCCUACAGCAGUUCCCUACUCCAGGUGGCCACAUAGGAGUUCCAGACCAGUGUUGUCUCCGGGGACAUUGACACAGCAGCCAAGUUUAUUGGUGUUGGGGCAGCCACAGUUGGUGUGGGUGGUUCAGGGGCUGGCAUUGGAGCGGUGUUUGGCAGCCUGAUCAUUGGCUGUGCCAGAAACCUGUCUCUCAAGCAGCAGCUCUUCUUCUAUGCCAUUCUGGGCUUUGCCCUGUCUGAGGUCAUGGGGCUCUUCUGUUUGAUGGUUGCCUUCCUCAUCCUCUUCACCAUGUGA
rnacentral:lncRNA from 1 species